rnacentral:rRNA from 1 species
GAUGAACGCUGGCGGCGUGCCUAAUACAUGCAAGUCGAGCGAACGGACGAGAAGCUUGCUUCUCUGAUGUUAGCGGCGGACGGGUGAGUAACACGUGGAUAACCUACCUAUAAGACUGGGAUAACUUCGGGAAACCGGAGCUAAUACCGGAUAAUAUUUUGAACCGCAUGGUUCAAAAGUGAAAGACGGUCUUGCUGUCACUUAUAGAUGGAUCCGCGCUGCAUUAGCUAGUUGGUAAGGUAACGGCUUACCAAGGCAACGAUGCAUAGCCGACCUGAGAGGGUGAUCGGCGACACUGGAACUGAGACACGGUCCAGACGCCUACGGGAGGCAGCAGUAGGGAAUCUUCCGCAAUGGGCGAAAGCCUGACGGAGCAACGCCGCGUGAGUGAUGAAGGUCUUCGGAUCGUAAAACUCUGUUAUUAGGGAAGAACAUAUGUGUAAGUAAAUGUGCACAUCUUGACGGUACCUAAUCAGAAAGCCACGGCUAACUACGUG